rnacentral:lncRNA from 1 species
GAAGAGCAACCUGCAAGUGAAACCACCGUGCUAAAGGUGGAUAAUGCCGGUCCCAGUGGUUUCACUCGCAGCGGUAGGCUAUUUGCUCCUGAUGCGUUGAGGAGAGGUGAAGAAGAAAAAGAUAAAAAAGAAAAGGCCGAGGCUUUAGCCAGGGCAAAGGGAAAGUCUGUGGUGGAUAAUGGUGGUACUCCUGUGGUGACACCGGCGCCUGCGGGGUCGGAUAAUAAACUUGAUGAUGAGGCUGAAGAGUUCUUGCGAAUCAUUAAGAAGUCGGAGUACAAACUGGUUGAUCAUUUGCAGCAAACUCCUUCCAAGAUCUCAAUUCUUUCGUUGCUGCUGAGCUCAG